rnacentral:rRNA from 1 species
CACGUAGGGUGCGAGCGUUGUCCGGAAUUAUUGGGCGUAAAGAGCUCGUAGGCGGUUCGUCGCGUCGGCUGUGAAAUCCCGAGGCUCAACCUCGGGUCUGCAGUCGAUACGGGCGGACUGGAGUUCGGCAGGGGAGACUGGAAUUCCUGGUGUAGCGGUGAAAUGCGCAGAUAUCAGGAGGAACACCGGUGGCGAAGGCGGGUCUCUGGGCCGGAACUGACGCUAAGGAGCGAAAGCGUGGGGAGCGAACAGG